UGUUUAAUUAGCCGAUUAAAUUUUAAUUACUUUAUAAUGCUAGUGAAAUUCCUCGAUGCAAAAAUAAAAUAUAACUGUAGUAAUAAUCUAUAUUCUCGACCUUCUAUCAUAAAGUGAACCUGACAACUGCAUCAAAAAUAUGCUUAUUGCGAUGAGGCUGCAUCCACCUGGGAGCGUCACACCUUACAAUGGAUCACGUUUGUCGAGGUUUCUCGCUGUCGAUAAAGACAUACAGAAACACAAAAAUCAGAUUUAGGAUGCUUCUAAUCAACGAGGUGAAACGAAUAUUUCCUGUAGAUAUUUUUGAGUUAGUUUCACAAAGUCGCACGAAUUUUUAAAUUGGAUUCUUUCGAUUCGAUUAAAUAUUAUUUAAAAAUUUUAAUUGUAUUUCAAAUGCCUCGAUUCGCGAUAACUUUACUUCGUGUGUUGUUAAUACUUCUGUAAAUAAUUUUAGUUCCUGUACCUUUAUUAAUUCUUUAGAGUCCGACGUCCGUCAUGUACUUUUUCUUGUAAUUUAGAUUCGAAGACGAAACAUACUUAUUGUCGCUAAAAUAUUUAACGUUCCUAUUCAUUGUGAGGUGUAUAAAGUUUUCUUGAUGUAUUUUUGUAUUAUAUUUUUAACAUAAGCGUAAGACAUUGUAAAGAAAUAAAGUAAUAUAUGUGAAUAAAUACGUUGAAUAUACAAUUUAUACAAUAUACACAUUAAACGAUUUCAAAUAUACGCAUAAUUUGCGCAUUGUUAUCUGGAAAUAUAAUUUUUUGCAAUUGGUAUUAACAAAACUUUCUAAUGGUAAAUAAUAAGGCAUUAUACUCGCUAAUAAUAUGAGAAAGUAUAUAAAUUAUACAAAAAAUAACAUGAACAAUUUAUGCAACAGAUAGUACAUGGAUAAAUUUUCCUUAUUAGUUUUUCCCUUUUAGUAAUUUCAAUGAUUAGUUAUUUAAUUCUGCCAUGUAAUGAAAAUAACAUUUACAUUUAUAUCGCUAUUUUUAACUGUGUAAGUAAAAAAAGCGUGGAUUAAGUUAAGUUCAGAGUAUAGUAGAAGUGUUUCGUACUCUUAAAAGUUAUUUUUACCACUGUGUAAAGAGGUUUGUAUGCGCAUCAUUUCUUGUUCCACGUAUUUUACAUCUUUUAAUGAGCCAUGUUACAAAAUGUUCAAGUAGUAAAAUGUAUAGUGCAUUUUGAUGAUCGUUUAACAUUAAACUUUGUAAUGUUUUU